rnacentral:lncRNA from 1 species
GCUGGGGUGACGCAGGGGGCUGGGGGGUGCCGGGUUGAUGUGGGGGUGACGUGGGGAGGCUGGGGUGAUGUGGGGGGACCGGGGGUGACGCGGCGGGGGGGGCCGUGCCCAGGUCCAGGCCCACGUGUGGGUGAAGGGGGGCUGCGAGGCCAGCAAGUGCGGCAAGUGCCAGAAGAAGAUCAAGAGCUUCCAGAGCCUGACGGGGCUGCACUGCGUCUGGUGCCACCUCAAGGUGGGCACGUCCCUGUCCCCGAGGGGGUGGGGGACCCCCCCCCCCACCAUGGCCCCCCUCCCCAGCCCCCCCCCCUCACCCCGCUCUGUCCCCAGAUCCACGAGGAAUGCCAGCCCCUCGUGCCCCCCGCCUGCGACUGCGGGGUCCUGCGGGACCACAUCCUGCCCCCCGCCGCCAUCUACCCCGUCCUGCUGGAGCGGCAGGACAGCCAGCGGGACGGCAGCGGGACGCCGGUGGAGGAGACGCCACAGGUCUUCACCACCCCCGAGGGCCAGGCGCUGCGGGGUGCUGCGCAAGUUCCAGUAUCUGCUCAACCCCCGGCAGGUCUAUAACCUGCUGCAGGGAGGACCCACCCCCGGGUGAGUGGGGCUUGGGGGGGGCCACUGGGGUGUCCAGGUGGGGUGGGGCCCAAAC